AGUACCUUAGUGCUCAGAACAUUGAGUAAUAAAUUACAGGUCUGUUGCCCAUGCUGUAUAACCUAUUGAGUGACAGUCAGUCUGAUUUUCCAAUGAGGAACCUUGUCACUAGUUUUUGAAUCAGUUCAGGAAGCAUGUUAUAAAUCAGUUGUAGGAAAUGUCUUUCAUUACAAAACAUCAAAGACAGUUUACACACAUUUUGGUUAGGGGGAAGGUGGCUUUAUCUGUCGGA
rnacentral:lncRNA from 1 species